UUCGUAACAGGUGCCCGCCCUCACCACAGAUGUCCAGUCCAUUUUCCGUUAUCCUCACCCUGUAACGCGCAAUCGCCUCCCAAAGUUCCAUUUGAUGCCAUCUUUUUCGCCGGUGAAAAUGCUCUUCACUAGGUUAAUAUCGAUAGCAUGUAUGACACUUUUCAUUACAUUUUUGCAUCAUAGAGAUUCAUUGUUAUUUUUCUUGAAUGUUGUGACAAAUUUCGUAAUACCAAUAUUAAUUUCAACAGCAAAGACGUACAUUUAGUAAAUUAAUGUCGAAGGUUUCCUAGUAUACUAGCAUGAAAAAAGGCCGAUCUCUUAGCAUUGUGAAGGAUUUCAGGGAAAGGAAAAACUUUGUCGAUUUUAAUUAAGAGCAUUUUAUAUAAUUUUUAAGGAAAAACUCGUCAAAAGGGUUUUAUUUAUCUUUUCUUAUUCACACAUAUUCAAUUCAAAGGCCAUAAAUUGUUAAUUAUCAAAUUUGUGGUAGAAGACAAUGCUUUUUUUACUUGAAGGGAAGUGGUAAAGGGAAGACCUGAGGUCCGAUCUCUUCAACACUAGUGAAGGGAACAGACCCUAUGACAAAGCAGCAACAUGGUAAACCGUCGUUGUGUCAAGACAUGCAAGCAACACUUUGAUUACAAGCCCCAACAUAAGCAGGGUGCAAACUGGAAACUACACAGGAUGCCCAAGGCUGGAGACAGCAGGCGCCAGGCGUGGCUGGAUGCCUUGGGUCUCCCAUCGGCCGAUAAGACUCUCUUCGUGUGCAGCAUGCGUUUUGUUGACAGCGAUUACACCCCAAAUCGCUUCCUCCAGCCGGAGGCUGUACCCUCGAAGAACCUUGGUACGUCACCUGCGACGGCGACGUCACCUGCGAGUUCCGCGGAACCCCUGACGCCGUCACCAGCUGGACCAUCCGCGGCCCUGGACCAUCCAGCGACGGCCGUGACGCCGUCACCAGCUGGACCAUCCGCGGCCCUGGACCAUCCAGCGACGGCCGUGACGCCGUCACCAG